CUUAACACAUCGACAAGUCGGAGGGGCAGUCGGGAGUAGACAAUACGUCGGCCGGCCGACCGGCGACGAAGGGUCGACGUAACGCGUAGAGACAACAGUCGCCCGUAUCAGGGGGGAUAAUCCAUGGAAACGUGGUCUAAUACCCCAUAGUAAUUAUGUAAGGCAUCUUAUAUAAUUUAAAGCUUUGGUGGAUACGGAUUGGCUCGCGUGACAUUAGCUGGAUGGUAAGGUAACGGCUUACCAUGGCUACGAUGUCUAGGGGUUCUGAGAGGAAGGUCCCCCACACUGGAACUGAGACACGGUCCAGACUCCUACGGGAGGCAGCAGUGAGGAAUAUUGGACAAUGGAUGGAAAUCUGAUCCAGCCAUGCCGCGUGCAAGGAAGACGGCCCUAUGGGUUGUAAACUGCUUUUGUAUGGGAGCAAUAAGGGCUACGUGUAGUCCGAUGAGAGUACCAUACGAAUAAGCACCGGCUAACUCCGUGCCAGCCGCAGC
rnacentral:rRNA from 1 species